rnacentral:tRNA from 1 species
GCAGUGGUGGUUCUGUGGUAAAAUUCUCACCUUCCAGGUAGGAGACCUGGGUUUAAUUCCUGGCCAAUGUG